UCUUUUUUCAUUUAAAAUGGCUUACUUUAACCAAGAUCCCUCGCCGUACUGUGGCCAAAGGUAAAAAACAGGUUGAUUUUGCGCCUGUAUCGGUGCCGUAAAUCAUCGCUGGCUGGGACUUUCUGCCUCCUAGUGCCAACUAGCGGCUGGCUAGCUGGCUAGCUCUCGUCAUCUGCCACGCUGUGUUGGAUCAACUCGACUCAACCAUUCAUUCAUUCUGGACCCUCCAGUGACGGCUUGUUGCUGGCUUCGGUUGUGGCGCUGCCAUGAAUAUCAGUUCACUAAACCACGCAGCCGCCACGGUUUAGCGGCGAAGCCACACAGAUGAGAGGGUCAGCUUUGUGGAGAGACGACAGUGAGGAACAAGACUGGCCUGGGUAUAGAGGACCACAUCCCGGCUUGCGGACCAAUGCAGCCUAUGGAAAGACAAGGAUGAGACCUGCACUGAAUCCUCAGCUGUAUCGUGCACCAGGCCUGGCUUGCAUGGUUCAGCGUGGAUGACUGCUGAGUGACAGGCGGACACGGCAGCCAGCGUUUCCACACGUCCUCCUCUUCCUGAAAUGCAGCUUGGCUCAGCUGUGCAGCCCCAAGGAGCUCCACAUGGCAGCGGGCUAAGUACACACACAGGAAGAGCUGCACAGCCCCCACAGCAAGAGGCCAGGCCAGGAGCACAGCUGGCCAGACUUGGUGGAGCCAGUCGACAGGCGCAUGGAGCGCAGCCCGCCCAGGGCCCGCUUCCUCCACAAAUAUGCCCAGGUGUGGGGCCUCCGAGCUGGGCUUCUGAUCUCUAAACAGCACUGUGUGUGUGUGUGUGUGUGUGUGUGUGUCUGUGUCUGUGUGUCUGUGUGUAGCGAAGGACGAUAGGAUGAGGGAUC